GAUGAACGCUGGCGGCGUGCCUAAUACAUGCAAGUCGAGCGAACGGACGAGAAGCUUGCGUCUCUGAUGUUAGCGGCGGACGGGUGAGUAACACGUGGAUAACCUACCUAUAAGACUGGGAUAACUUCGGGAAACCGGAGCUAAUACCGGAUGAUAUUUUGAACCGCAUGGUUCAAAAGUGAAAUACGGUGUUGCGGGCUCUUAUAGAUGGAUCCCAGCUGCAUUAGCUAGUUGGUAAGGUAACGGCUUACCACGGCAACGAGGCCUAGCCGACGGGAGAGGGUGAUCGGCCACAUUGGAAGUUGGACACCGUCCAUAGUACUACGGGAGGGAGCAGUAGGGAACCGUCCGCAGCGGUCGGAAGCCUGACGGAGCAACGCCGCGUGAGUGAUGAAGGUCUUCGGAUCGUAAAGACCUGUUAUUAGGGAAGAACAUAUGUGUAAGUAACUGUGCACAUCUUGACGGUAACUAAUCAGAAAGCAACGGCUAACUACGUG
rnacentral:rRNA from 1 species